rnacentral:rRNA from 1 species
AUGGCGCCGAAGCGGAAGCUUAGCAUGGGGCGGCAGAAGAUCGAGAUCCGGCGGAUCGAGAGCGAGGAGGCGCGCCAGGUGUGCUUCUCCAAGCGCCGGGCGGGGCUGUUCAAGAAGGUGAGCGAGCUGGCCGUGCUCUGCGGCGCCGAGGUGGCCGCCGUCGUCUUCUCCCCGGCCGGCAAGGCCUUCUCCUUCGGCCACCCCUCCGUCGAGGCCAUCCUCGACCGCUUCAUCCCCUCCGCCGCGGCGCAGGUCGGGCCGGCGGCGGGCCUUGGUGCCGCCGGCGACCGCAACCUGGCGGAGCUGAACCGGCAGUACGGCCAGCUGCGCGAGCAGCUGGAGUCGGAGAAGGCGCGGAAGGAGCGCGCGGACGAGGCCAUGGAGAAGGAGCGCGCCACGGGGAGCCCGGCGGCGGCGUGGCUCGACGCCUACCUGCGCGACCUCGGGGAGGAGGAGCUGAUGGCCUUCGCCGCCGCGCUGGUGGACGUGCAGGGCGCCGUCUCCGCGCGCGCCAACCAGGUGCUCCAGGAGGCGCUGGACGUCGGCCGCGCCAGGAGCGCCAGCCGCAUGCUCCUGGCGCCCCCGCCGCAGCAGGAGCUCGCAGGCGGUGGUGGCUUUGAGUUCGCUAGCUGCGGCGCGAACUCUAGGAAUGAGAUGGAGAUGCAGCAGAUGUUGAUGGCCAUGCCGCCACCGCCGGAGUUCGCCGCUGCCGGAAUGGAGAUGAUACAAGUACAACAGGGGCUCGGGCCGAACGCCGGCUUACCCUACUGA